UACGGAGGAUGCAAGCGUUAUCCGGAAUGAUUAGGCGUAAAGCGUCCGCAGGUGGCUAUGUAAGUCUGCUGUUAAAGAGUGAGGCUCAACCUCAUAAGAGCAGUGGAAACUACAUGGCUAGAGUGCGUUCGGGGCAGAGGGAAUUCCUGAUGUAGCGGUGAAAUGCGUAGAGAUCAGGAAGAACACCGGUGGCGAAAGCGCUCUGCUAGGCCGCAACUGACACUCAUGGACGAAAGCUAGGGGAGCGAAUGGG
rnacentral:rRNA from 1 species